AUGGAAAUGGACAUCUAAGAAGGAACUAGUGAUGUAAAAAAUCCACAGUAAUAUGGAAGUUCUUUAGAGAGUUAAGACUGGAAAUAUUUGCACUCUCAAAGAAGCUUGUUAAUGCAGAUGAACCUCUAAUUCUUUUCGUUGCUUCAUUUACAUUUAUAGAGGUAUACAUAUUCCCUCUUCUAACAGGGGUUAGUAACUUGGGGAGGGAGUGCUACAGAUUCAGGUCCUAAUUCAGUGGCAGGUCCAUCUUAUCUCCUCUUCAGGUUAUAUUCUCAAGCAGGAGCUACAGGAUGAGACGAGUAAAACAGUUCACUUCCUUUGCUUACCCGCAGCCCCAUAAUAGGCUUCUGCUGGGCUUCCUUGGUUGUUUUCACCAUCACUUUCACCACCAGAGGUCAGGGAACCUUCCGGUUAAUCAGGGGUCCUGGAAAUGAUGCAGAAAAGUACUGACUUAAAAAUAAUAAAUAACAUUUAUUUAGGGCUCACUGUGAACUCAUUGCUUAAAAUGUCCUACUUAAUCUUCACAACCACUCUAUAAAAUUGGUAUUGAUAAAUCUCAGGUAUAUCCAAUAUAAGUCUCUAUGUAGGGUUGUGAUAUUUUUAGCUCUUUUAUGUCUUUAGGUUCAUCUCGGCACCAGACAUAAGGCGGUUCAACAUAAUACGCCUGCCCUAAACAGCUCCAGAUGCCAAGAAUUGGCAAAUUACUACUUUGAUUUCCAUGGGUGGUCAAAAAGUAUCAUCAAGGAUUCCAGGAAAAAGGCAUGGGCUGCGGCUACAAUGGGCGGGGCCCCCAGGCCGGGCCGCCCCUCCAGGACCCCCGACGGGGCCCUGCGCUCCUGGCGGCUCCCUCCCCCGGCGCCCCCUCCCUCCCGGAAGGCCUCGGGUCAGAGCGGUCCCACCCCCUACGCCCAGAACGGAGCCCGCGUUUUCGCAGAGCUGGAAGUGCCGCAGCUCGGGGUCUCUUCCCUCCGCCGUCACGGAACUCCCCGGAGGCCGAGGGGAGGGCGGCCUCACUGAGGCUGCCGGUUCUGGACGGGCCCCGGCGGCCGAAGCUGGGAGAGUCGUGCGGACCGCGGGCCGGGUAAGUGGGCGCCGGCCCUCCGCCUGGUCCGCUGCCCGGGCGGCAGCGCAAGACCAGCUUCUGAGGGGUAGGGGUUCGCUGCCACCCGCCACUGCUGUGCAGAAAGAGCGGCCCCCAGCGUCUGGUCCGGGGAACUUCCGUCCCUCUUCUCCCCCCUGCCCUCGGCCUGGCUCGCGGGGCCUGUGGGGCGUGUGGAGGGGGUCGGCCUGAGCGUUCGGAGGGGAAACGGGGCAAGGGACGAGCAGGGUCCGGCUGCAGCGUCAGCGCCCCUCCUCCCGACUGCAGGGAAAGCGAAUGAAAACUGCCCCCGAGGCUCGCAGGCCCCUUAUUCAGCCGAGACCCUCUGAGCUCCUUCCUUCCAGAGCUAAAGUAUGGGGGGAGGGGACAGGGCAGGGCCCUGGCGCAGGUAAUGGGGAACAUUAAAAGGUGAUUGUUAACUAAGGAAAACCAGCUCUCCCAACGUGAGGAAUGUAGCGCUUUUCUUUGUAUAAGAAGAUGCCAGAGUCUGGGCUCCCUGAAAUCCUUCCUUUCAUAUGCACCUCAGCUCUCUGGGGCCUGCAUUCUGUAUUUGCAUAUCCUGAGUUUCUCAGGGCCCGCGGCUCACACUGGAGGGCUGCAAGUGCUGAUGACUGUGACACCCUUUGUUUACUGAGAUGGCAAGAAAUAUUCCAUUUCUCACAGGCUUGAGGGGCAGACAGUGAAGAGUCAGAGAAUCUCAUUCAGCAUGUAGUUUGGUUUACAUAUAGAUAAUAUUUAUACGUAACUAUGCUAAUAGAGGUUCUCAAGUCCAAUCAACUUGUACUACUGCCCUCUAUGUAUUCAUUUCAUCAAUGUUCAUAAGAUAAAUGCCUAUAGAUUUGACUUAAUCCAUUUAAAUAGGAUAAUGAUUUUUAAAGGAAACAUAACAGAAAUAUAACAACAAAACCUUUUCCACUAAAGGCUGGGUCUGCAACAACCUACAUAAAUGUUCCAUUGUUAAAAUAUUGAAAGGUGUAUUCAAUAGAAAUAUCAACAAAAAUGACAAAUAAUAAGGUCAGCAGAAUGUUGAAAUGUUCUAUUUUUAUCAUUAAAGUGGCAGAAAAUCAUUUAUUAGUAGGCACUGGGGGCAGAAGAUGCCUGAUUUUAUAUCUUUGUCAUAUUUGUACAGUUGUUUCAACAAGUUACUUACAGACAAAAUGGAAAAACAAGGAGGUUUGUGCCUGAGAUCACGUUGAUGUGAAACCGGGGAUGGCCACCUUGUGCCAGGUGACUUAAGUUUACCUGGCAGGUAGACCUCAGAGCUCCUGAGAAGCAAGGGUUGGAAUUUUUCUGCUGGGUGCCCCUUAGGUUCUGUGACUUGACUGAUUGUGAGUCAUGUUUCGGUAAAAACCUGGUCACAGGAAAAGGGUGGGAAUAGAGUGAUUUGGGGAGCAGCUAACAACAUUCAUCACGGCUCAUGGCCUGAAUGAAUUUUAAAGAAACAGGAAAACAAAUGCUUCUUAUGGAAUCAGAGAAUGUGAAGGCUGGACAAUCCCACAAAAUGAGGAACACCCGUCCCAUUUUCCAGAUGAGAAAACAGAGGCCCAGCAAGGUGAAAUCCCUCACCCAAGUUGCACCCGUCUCUCCUCCCCACUACGUGGUCCAUGAAAGCAGGACUCUUCCUGUCAUGAUCACUGCUGAACCCCAAAAAGGGCCAGGCAUCUAGCAGCUGCUCCAAAAAUUUUGGUUGACUGUAGGAACAAUGCUAUUUCUUUCUUUCUCACUCUUAUUCAGGAUUGUGCCAAGAACUCCCCAGUCUUCAAUGUAAUUCGAUAAAUGUAAAUAUUAAUUGAGUUUUGUUGUGAUGAGGACUUAGGCUUUGAAGGUAACAGACUUGGUUCAGAUCCUGGUUCUGCCACUCAAUAGCUAUUUGACUUUGGGAAAAUUACUAAAGCUCUCUGAGCUUAUUUCCUCCUUUGUAAAGUGGGGAUAAAUGUAUCUGAGCCAGCAGAGCACUUGCAUGAGAGAUGUGCACUAAAUAUUGGUCUUUCUCACUCUCCCAUGCCAUCACUCUGUUCUUCCCAGAGAAGUUGUACAGAAGGAUAUAGUACUUUAAAAAAAUUAAUUAAUUAAUUAAUUUUUGGCUGCGUUGGGUCUUCUUUGCUAUGCACGGGCAUCUCUAGUUGUGGCUAGCGGGGGCUACUCUUUGUUGUGGUGCGCGGGCUUCUCAUUGCGGUGGCUUCUCUUGCUGCGCUUGCUGUGGAGCACCAGCUCUAGGCAUGGGAGCUUCAAUAGUUGUGGGCUGCAGCCUCAGUAGUUGUGGCGCAUGGGCAUAGCUGCUCCGCGGCAUGUCGGAACUUCCCUGACCAGGGCUCGAACCCAUGUCUCUUGCGUUGGUAGGCAGAUUCUUAACCAUUGUGCCACCAGGGAAGUCCGAUAUAGUACUUUAUAAAGAGGGGUUUUAAUUUAUGUCAGAUAGUGUACAUGUUUCUUGUAGAAAAGAUUAUUCCACUAUAGAAACAUUAACACGCGAUACCAGUACAAAUGCAGUAUUCUAUGGGCUAGAUCUUAUCAGUAAAUUUUAUAAGUAUUUGGGCAAAGGCCAAAGCACUAGGUAAUGGGGAGUAAGAAGACUCAAAUCUUGGGUGCCCCCCCACGCCAAUUUCAAGAGCAGGGUGUGUUUUUCAAAUCCAUAUUUCAUCUGGUCUUUGUUUCUCAUCCAUCCUCUGUGUCUGCCUUUCUCAAGAAGGCUCACAUCCUCUGCUUCCACACCCUCCCGGCUGGCUGUGCCCCAGCUCCCGUCCUGGACCCUCUGCAUGCAUGAGUGUGCCUGCUCUCCCUGUGCAUCACCAGCUUUGCCAGGGAGCUGCUGUAUCGUGCACUGCUUGCUGUACCCCAGAGUACCUAGACCCUUCUGGUACAUGAAGUACACUCUCAUCACCAUGAGUGCACGCCCAUCCCCUUACCUUAUAUCUUGCCUCUAAGCCAGGCUUGGGGGUGACUACAGUGUGCGUUCAGCUCGGUGAGCUGCUGGGAUCAAAGUGAAGUUCCCAACUUUUGAAGUUGCAGGCUUGAGGGGCACAGAGUGAUUUAAAGUCGGGUCACUUGACUUAAAGCGGGGGCUGAUUGAUUUAAAGCCAGGGCAGCUGACUUAAACUCCGAUUCUCUCAGCUGCAGGACAAGACCAACUUUGGCGGUGCACGGGUUCGCUCCAAGCCAGCACUGCUGUUCAGGAAGAGUUUCCAGUAGCGCCUUAGUGCAGGGAGACUUGGUGUGUUGUCUUACCGCUGCCCUCAGAGGGGUGCCACCUGCUCUUCUGGAGAAGAAUCAGGGAGGGGGAAGUGCAGAGUCCCGGCUGGAGUUGCGGCACCCCUUGUCUGAUGGCAGGGAAGGUGGGGCGGGGUUGUGUGGCGUCCUGGGGCUGGACUCACCAGGUCGACUCAGCCUCUCAGCCUCCUAACCUACCCACACACACCCCACAAGAGUUUCCAAUAAUAUGUAAUUGCGCCUUAGGUUCUCGGUCUUCAAACUCAUACCCAGGCUCCCAGGUCCCUUGAUUCAGCCAAUUCCUCUGUGCUCUUUCUUCUAUUAGGGACAGUCCCAGCGGGAGGGGCUGGGGGAUGGGACUGGAGGGACCCCGGCAGCACUUGGCUCAGCUGACUGAAUAGAUCUGUGGCCUGUGCUCUCACACAUGUGUGAGGACCCUCAAGGCGGAAUCGAG
ensembl:lncRNA